rnacentral:piRNA from 1 species
UUAAAAUGGAUUGCCUAGACGUGGUU